AAUAAAGCUUUGCCGCAGAAGAUUCUGGUCUGUGGUGUUCUUCCUGGCCGGUCGUGAGAACGCGUCUAAUAACACGGCAUCAUAGAAAAGGACAUGGAAGUCGAAUGGGGACAAUCAUGGCAGAGGUGGGGACCAGCCCCAGUGGGGAAGAAGAAUGAGACACGAUGUCAUGACGUGAUUCACGCAGUGUUCUGCUUCACCGCAUGUCCAAAGUGACAGGUCCCAGCAACCACAGACUAACUCCUUUCAAGUGGAGAUCCCACAUAAACCUCUACCUGCGUUGAGUUAAUGUUAUUGAGUAUUUUGUCAUAGCGGUGGAAAAACCAAACCAGCACAACCAUGUAUUGCUCUUAGAACAUGGACUAAAGCGAUAAUAUCAGUGUGAACAGCUAUGCAUUUCAACUUAAAAGGUUUUUAAUUCUCUAGUACAUCAGAGACAAAUAUAAACACAUGGAGAAAUUUUUGUAAUACGUAUGAUAACCCAAUGAUAGAGAGCCCUAAGUAUGAAGACUUCCAGAAAAAUGACUUCACACAUGCAAUGCAGAUGGCAAACAGAAGGCUAAGCAGCCAGGACUCUCAACCACCACACCUCUGACAUCUUGACGAGGGAUGCUAACUCAGCAUUUCUACUACCUCCACCUCCACCUCAACUACUACCACAACCACCAUCUUCACCAUCUCUACCACCACCAUCAUCACCACCUUCACCAUCUCCACCUCCAUCACCACCACCUCCACCAGCUCUACCAUCACCACUACCACCAUCACCACUAUGUCUCCAGAGACUGCCAAAUGCCCCUCGAGGGCAAAAUCAACAGAAAAAUAUGCUCCAUCGUAUGAAUGGAUGGGUAGUGGCAAAUUAAAAGAGCAAUGUCACUUGGUCAGAACAGGAUGACUCUAAGGAUAGGUGCCAAGGGUCUGGGCUGGAGGAUGUCUGUGGAAACACACACAGGAAUGACAAUCUUACGGGCGGAGCUGGCAGCGCUGGGGCUGGACGGUUCUUUACCUGUGCCUUUCUCUUGACUCAGCAAUUAUCUGCUCCCACAGAACUGGGCACAAGAGCUCACAGGAACGUACAACCAAACAGUGCUCAGCCUUAAUCAAUUUUGAAAACUGUGAUUAAAAGGACAAAGGGACAGUUAAAAUGUGGUAUACUGAAGGGAUAUAUAUAUAUAUAUAUAUAUAUAUGGUCUAAGACAUGUUGCUGAGUGUAACAAAGCAAAUUACAAAAAUAUGACCUAGUAUUUAGUCUCAAACUGGAAAUAAGGUACUGGUGAACGCGUGCACGUUCCAUUUAAAAGAAGAAAGCCUUGGAAAAAUAGAGUACAAACGUCUGUGCUCCAUCCUUGAGGCAGGGUGGAGAUGCGGUGGGCGUGGUAAGGAGAGCAAGCUCAGAGAGAGGGCGUCUCUCUCUGCUGCCGUUUGCUUUGUAGUAUUCUGUGCUGCUUGGGUUUGAAUAGAAACUAGUGUCGUUUUCCGAAUUUUAAAAAUGUGUUCCACAAAACUUCCCAGAUCGAAAGGGUCCUGUUAUACAUGCAGCAGUAAAUGAGCCCCCUGACCUCCAUGGACUGUGUCACAUUUCCAUAGAUCAGAUUCUGGAAGGUGGCAGGAUGCAGCGGGACAUGGAACACUUCAGCCCUGGGUCAUGCAGGCUACCCCUGCCAGCUGAAGCAAACCCCAGAGCAUGACUACAGCAACAUCACAUCUGGGUGGAGUCUCAGCCACUGGCUAGAGACAUAUUGGGCCAGGCCUGUGUUUUCUUAGCAGUUCCCUGAAAUGAUCCGAAAGAUGGAGCUGGCCAACAACAAAACCAGUUUUCUUCUCACUUUUACUACAGGCUAUGUCGUCAGUGGGCCUCCCUACUCUCUUCAGCAGCUGCUGCUGUUUCUGGAGGCCGUGUUCAGCUUACAAGUGGGCUCCCGGCCACUCCCCACCACAAUGAAUUAUCCCCAAACAAAAAGAAAACAGAAGGUUUGAGAUUAUCAAUCCCUGUACCGGAUCUUGGGACCGGGCAAAAAGGUUUUGAGCAUAAUUUACUUCAAAGCAGAGUGAGAUGAAUAAAGUUGUGAAUGUGGUCAUGAAAAAGAAAAGAAAAGAAGAGGAGCUCUUGCCUCCAGGUUCCUGCCCUGCUUGAGUUCCUAUCCCGACUUCCUUUGGUGAUGAACUGCAGUGUGGAAGUGGAAGCUGAAUAAUCCAAUGAAUCCUUUGCUCCCCACUUGCUUUUUGGUCAUGGUGUCUCUUCCCAGCAAUUGAAACCCUAAGACAAUAUAAAAUCAUGGUAUGAGAUUGUGGCAACUCUGCCGUAUUGAAAAGAAUUCCUCAUCCAUCUGCCAAAAUGAGAGGACCAAGAGUAAAAUAUCUUCCCGGACAGAGAAGCCUUGAGGGCUGGAACUGCCUGGGUUUUGGAAAUUAUUUCUGUGUGUCCAACAUUCAUCCCAGAAUACAGGACAGAAUCGUUGUUUAGGAACAGUGAUCCAUCAGCUGAAUGAAUGAAUGAAUAAGCAAGACUGGCAAGCUAGCUCUGUCUCUAGGGGCCCGUGGCACAGAGACGUGGCACAGUGAGACUAUGUACUAUAAUCCCAGCACUCAGGAGGCUGCCAGAAUUUCAAGUUACAUGCUAGCCUGAACUACAGAGCAAAAGAAAAAGAGAAGAUGAAACUGGGCGAGAGAGAUGGCUCAGUGGUUAAGA